rnacentral:rRNA from 1 species
GAUGACGCUGGCGGCGUGCCUAAUACAUGCAAGUCGAGCGAGCGGCGGACGGGGGCGUAAUGUCUGGGAAACUGCUCGAUGGAGGGGGAUAACUACUGGAAACGGUUGCUAAUACCGCCUACCAUCGGAUGUGCCCAGAUGGGAUUGGCUAGUAGGUGGGGUAACGUGUCACCUAGGCGACGAUCCCUAGCUGGUCUGAGAGGAUGACCAGCCACACUGGAACUGCGACACGGUCCAGACUCCUACGGGAGGCAGCAGUGGGGAAUAUUGCACAAUGGGCGCAAGCCUGAUGGAGCCAUGCCGCGUGGAUGAAGAAGGCCUUCGGGUUGUAAAGUACUUUCAGCGAGGAGGCGUUACUCGCAGAAGAAGCCCCGGCUAACUCCGUGCCAGCAGCCGCGGUAAUAC